rnacentral:rRNA from 1 species
ACAAACCGGAGGAAGGUGGGGAUGACGUCAAGUCCUCAUGGCCCUUAUAGGUGGGGCUACACACGUCAUACAAUGGCCGGUACAAAGGGCUGCCAACCCGCGAGGGGGAGCCAAUCCCAUAAAACCGGUCGUAGUCCGGAUCGCAGUCUGCAACUCGACUGCGUGAAGUCGGAAUCGCUAGUAAUCGUGGAUCAGAAUGUCACGGUGAAUACGUUCCCGGGUCUU